rnacentral:rRNA from 1 species
UACGGGAGGCAGCAGUGGGGAAUAUUGCACAAUGGGCGCAAGCCUGAUGCAGCCACGCCGCGUGUAUGAAGAAGGCCUUCGGGUUGUAAAGUACUUUCAGUCGUGAGGAAGGUGUUAAGGUUAAUAACCUUAGCAAUUGACGUUAGCGACAGAAGAAGCACCGGCUAACUCCGUGCCAGCAGCCGCGGUAAUACGGAGGGUGCGAGCGUUAAUCGGAAUUACUGGGCGUAAAGGGCACGCAGGCGGUUAAUUAAGUUGGAUGUGAAAUCCCCGGGCUUAACCUGGGAAUGGCAUUCAAGACUGGUUAGCUAGAGUCUUGUAGAGGGGGUAGAAUUCCAUGUGUAGCGGUGAAAUGCGUAGAGAUGUGGAGGAAUACCGGUGGCGAAGGCGGCCCCUGGACAAAGACUGACGCUCAUGUGCGAAAGCGUGGGGAGCAAACAGGGAUUAGAUACC